CCCGUCCGCCCCGUGGACGCCCUGACCAUUCGGCCGCCGUCCCGGCUACUCUGGCGGCGUGCGCCCCCUGUGGAAGUUCCCACGGAGGGCGCAAAGCCGACAGCCGUCGCAUUCCAGGGAGCCCCUUCAUG
rnacentral:sRNA from 1 species